GGAGUUAUAGCUCAGUGGUAGAGUGCUCACCUUGUAAGUAUGAGGUCCUGGGUUUGAUCCUUAGCACCA
rnacentral:tRNA from 1 species